GUGAGAGAAGCUGCCCCUCAAUGCUCAUGUCAGCUCCUGGGAUACUCUUGAUCCCCAGGCAAUGGACUUAAAGAAACAAACAUUCCUAGACCCCAUUUGGUUGUGGGGCGGGGCUUCUCAGCGUAUUGGCUUUGAUGCUCAUUGGCCAAGGGCUGCAGCGGGCCAGAAACUAACAGUGGAACACAUUAUCAUUGGCAGCACAGGGAUAGACAGCAAAUGUUAGACCUUUUUAAUACACAUGUUGCCUAAUUCUUUGGGAGUGACACAGAAUUCUUAAAACAUGUUUAGGGGUACUUGAUUCCUAAGAUCCUCUGUCCAUCUGUGCCCUCCUCUCCCCUAAACCCACAUUUACGUCUUUCAUUCUCAAGGUUCUAAAAGCUGGAUCUUAAAGGCUCGAGUGACUAAAAUCUAUGGCCUGAUCCCAGAACUAUUUCAGUUUCAAAUACCAAAAGUACUGCUAGUUUGGUUCUCCCCAUUUGUAAGUACCAGCUAGGUUAGAUAGAGUAGGAAGUUGGCAUGUAACUCAAGGCUGCAUAGGGUUGAAAUUCUGCUGAUGAGUGGAUCAGUUCAUCAUGAAUUUUCUCAGGUUCCAAUUUUUAGGGGAAAAAUUAUUUUUUUUCUGGGUGAUUUUCUUGCUAAGUUGUCCCAAGAGGGAAUUAUGGGGUAAUAUUCAUGGAAUCAUACUCUUCAAGCACUUUUUAUGGUUUUCUUUUGCCUUAAGAGUUCCUACUAAGAAAUCAGUAUCUGCUUAUUGAGCACCUAUUAUGUGCAAACACUGGGCUAUGAACUCAAGAAUUCUCCUUGACUUCAAGGAUUUUAUAAUCCAUGUUUGGGGACAAAUCACAAAAUAAUUAACAUUGAACAAGCCUGGACCCUGGGUACCUGGCUGAAGACUUUGGACUUUAACCUGGAGAUGAUGGAGAGUAUGCAGGAUAAAGUCCAUACCAAAUCCAACGCCUAGCAAAUGGAGAACAAGCCAAAACUAACAAGAUAAAAUGUAGCAGGAAAAAGUGCAAAGAGCUGAAGUGUGGAAUAAGUGGGAGAGGUCUGCCAUGCCCUAUCUGACCUUGCUGCCAUGAUCUUUAAGGCUGUGUGUCCUGGUUGGUGCAGCUACAAGAUGGCAGAAAUGCCUAAGUGAUGGUAUGGAACAGAGGAUCCCUCUUCUCACCAUUGUCUUGCAUGUUUCCUUGUGUGAACCACAAAUAAACUUUUGUUAUGUUAAGCUGCUGAGA
rnacentral:lncRNA from 1 species